rnacentral:rRNA from 1 species
GACAGAGGGUGCAAGCGUUGUUCGGAAUUAUUGGGCGUAAAGCGCGUGUAGGCGGCUUUGCAAGUCGGGUGUGAAAUCCCUCAGCUUAACUGAGGAAGUGCGCCCGAAACUGCAGAGCUUGAGUACCGGAGAGGGUGGCGGAAUUCCCCAAGUAGAGGUGAAAUUCGUAGAUAUGGGGAGGAACACCGGUGGCGAAGGCGGCCACCUGGACGGAUACUGACGCUGAGACGCGAAAGCGUGGGGAGCAAACAGG